rnacentral:rRNA from 1 species
AACGAACGCUGGCGGCAGGCCUAACACAUGCAAGUCGAGCGGGGGAGCAAUCCCUAGCGGCGGACGGGUGAGUAACGCGUGGGAACGUACCCUUUGCUUCGGAAUAGCCCCGGGAAACUGGGAGUAAUACCGGAUGUGCCCUACGGGGGAAGAAUUUCGGCAAAGGAUCGGCCCGCGUUGGAUUAGGUAGUUGGUGGGGUAAUGGCCUACCAAGCCGACGAUCCAUAGCUGGUUUGAGAGGAUGAUCAGCCACACUGGGACUGAGACACGGCCCAGACUCCUACGGGAGGCAGCAGUGGGGAAUCUUAGACAAUGGGCGCAAGCCUGAUCUAGCCAUGCCGCGUGAGCGAUGAAGGCCUUAGGGUUGUAAAGCUCUUUCGUGGGGGGAAGAUAAUGAGGUACCCCAAGAAGAAGCCCCGGCUAACUCCGUGCCAGCAGCCGCGGUAAU